AGAAGCUACUAAGGGCAUACGGUGGAUGCCUUGGCGUCAAAUGCCGAUGAAGGACGUAGUACACUGCGAUAAGCUUCGGGAAGCUGUGUGCAAGCAUUAUUACCCGAAGAUCUCCGAAUGGGGAAACCUGCACGAGCGAUCCUCGUGCGUCCCAAGCUGAACACAUAGGCUUGGGAAGGGAACCUGGGGAACUGAAACAUCUAAUUACCCAGAGGAAAAGAAAUUAUUCCGCUAGUAGUGGCGAGCGAACGCGGAACAGCCCAAACCGGUUGUGCUUGCACAACCGGGGUUGUAGGGUCCAGCAUAUGGGAGUUACAAACCAGUCUGUUAGCUGAAUGCUUCUGGAAAGAGCAACCACAGCAGGUGAUAGUCCUGUAGGCGAAAACAGUCUGGCUCCCGCUGGAUACCUGAGUACUGCCGGGCACGCUAAUCCGGCAGGAACCCGGGGAGUCCACUCUCCAAGGCUAAAUACAUUUGACGACCGAUAGCGGACAAGUACCGUGAGGGAAAGGUGAAAAGUACCCCUGCUAGGGGAGUGAAAUAGAACCUGAAACCGUAUGCUUACAAUCAGUCGAAGGGCGUCUGGCCUGCCUUAGGGCGGGCUCGGCCUGACGGCGUGCCUCUUGGAGAAUGAGCCAGCGAGUUAAUAGUUGUGGCAAGCUUAAGGGAGUAACACCCGGAGGCGCAGCGAAAGCGAGUCUGAAUAGGGCGUACAGUCGCAACAAUUAGACACGAAACCCGGUGAGCUACCCAUGGCCAGGGUGAAGCGAGCUUAAAACCUCGUGGAGGCCCGUACCUACUAAUGUUGCAAAAUUAGGGGAUGAGCUGUGGGUAGGGGUGAUAUGCCAAUCGAACCGGGAGAUAGCUUGUUCUCCCCGAAAUAGCUUUAGGGCUAGCGUCACACGUUCAGUAUCGGGGGUAGAGCACUGAAGUGGCUAGGGGGCUUAUUGCCUACCAAACCGCAUCAAACUCCGAAUACCGGUACUCCAGAGUGUGGCAGUCGGACUACGGGUGAUGAGAUUCGUGGUCAAAAGGGAAACAGCCCAGACCAUCGGCUAAGGUCCCAAAAUUUGAGCUAAGUGGUAAACGAUGUGGGAUUACUCUGACAGCCAGGAGGUUGGCUUAGAAGCAGCCAUCCUUUAAAGAGUGCGUAACAGCUCACUGGUCAAGUGAUCCUGCGCGGACAAUUCAACGGGGCUAAGCUCAAUACCGAAGCCAUGGGUCGUGCGCAUCUUCGGAUGUGCAUGGCGGUAGGGGAGCGUUCUGCUUGCACUGAAGGUCGACCGGAAGGACGGCUGGAGCGGGCAGAAGUGAGAAUGCUGGCAUGAGUAGCGUAAAGCACGUGAGAAUCGUGUUCGCCGUAAGUCUAAGGUUUCCGACGCAAGGUUGUUCCGCGUCGGGUUAGUCGGCCCUUAGCUGAGGCCGAAAGGCGUAAGUGAUGGACAUCCGGUUAAUAUUCCGGAACCACCGCAGUUGAGUGAAGGGGGGACGCAGGACGGUAGAUCAGCCGACCCACUGGACAUGGUCGGUGCUAAACGGGUAGGUGUUGAGGUGCGCAGGGAAAUCCGCGCGCUGAGCUGAGACGUGAUGGCGUGGCCUAGAGCCUGAAGUGAUUGAGCCGAACUGCCAAGAAAAGCCUCGUAGCGUUGAGACUGUGGUGUCCGUACCGCAAACCGACACUGGUAGACGGGUAGAGAAUACCAAGGCGAACGGGAGAACCCUUGUUAAGGAACUAGGCAACAUGGCCCCGUAACUUCGGGAGAAGGGGUGCCUUUAAGCGUGAAGUAUGUACAUACCUAGCGCCUAGAGGUCGCAGUGAAUAGGCUCUGGUGACUGUUUAACAAAAACACAGGUCCCUGCUAAAGUGUAAACUGAUGUAUAGGGGCUGACGCCUGCCCAGUGCCGGAAGGUUAAGGGGAGAGGUUAGUCGCAAGACGAAGCUUUGAACUGAAGCCCCGGUGAACGGCGGCCGUAACUAUAACGGUCCUAAGGUAGCGAAAUUCCUUGUCGGGUAAGUUCCG
rnacentral:rRNA from 1 species